GUGGGUGCUGUGCGUCGUGGAACGCGUCGGGCAUACGCAAUUUAGAAUUUGCAAUGGCAAUCGAAUGUGGAUCGAGGCUGACAAGUGAAAACGGUUGCCCUGGCACGAGAGGGGCGGCCGGCCAGAGACGCAUUCUGGCCGUCUCGUCGGUCGUUGACAGCUAAUCGGGUGUCUUGGCCGGCACUUUCACUCGCCCGUCGGCGUCAUUAGCAUGGCAUCAUCAUUAUCAGCAGUGCUAUCAUCAUCAGGCAUCUGGCUGUCCACUGGCUGAUGCUUUGCUGAUUGUGGCUUUGAUUUCCGAUAGAAGCGUAACGUAGCACAUUCUUGGCAUGCAUCCUUGAGAAUUUGCAGACCAUACUUACAUUUGUAUGCACAUGGUAGAUCUUUCCAUAAAUAUAAAAUAUAAAAUGUUA